GUUAGGUUAGCUCAGUUGGAGAGUGCUCCACUAGAAAUGGAGAGGUCCCGGGUUCGAUACCCGGACCAGGCG
rnacentral:tRNA from 2 species